UGUCAGGAGAGUGUAGUGGAGUGUGUAUGAUCGCGGAAACAUGAAACGAUUUCAAAGUGGAAGUGAAAAAAGAAAUAAGAAAAGGGAGAAGUUAAGGUAGAAAUUACGCAAGCUAACGCAGUUUUUCUAAUCAAAGAAUGCAUCCGUGGAAGAUUAAGACAUUUCUGAUAAUGAUCAUUUCAAGUGCUUCUGGGCCACGUUUAGCUAUUGCUAGCAGCAGCAGAAACUGCAGCCACUUCAACACCAAUUACCGUAUUUUAUGGAAAAUAAGCUGCGCCUUGUACUGCGGCUUUUUUACAGUUUUCUUGUGCUUGUGCAGUUUAUAUUUCGAAGCGGCUAAUAGUCCGGUUUCAGAACAAUAAAGUGUCUUCUUCACCGUCUCAAGAUCUCCACAGACCGUACAGCUAAUUUCAUGCUCAGCACUUGAACGGGGGCUUAUUACUUGAAAGAGGAAUUAUUUACUGUGUCGUCUCAGUUACACUAUCAGGACUUGGAAAUACAGUGACUUACUGAGGUCAACGGACUUCGUCUGCGCGGCAGGAAGAGCAAAGUCUGGGGAAGAAACAGGCGCUACCUGCUGGGGCUACGGGCAAGGUGUAUCUCCUCAAUCUGUCGUAGUGCACAACCUGCUCCCGGUCCUCGGAGUCCAAAUGAUUUUCAAUCCGUUAGUCUUGCAUCACCGAAGGCGCUCUCCAGUCCCUUCACCAUUGAGGACACGAACUCCGCCUGCGUCCCGGGCACCUGAGAGUCGAACAGUCUCGGAGGCACCAACACAUCCGAUGGAACCCGUGCUUCUCUCCCAUGCACAAGACGACAGAGGCUCUGGAUGAUCUCCGCUUCAAACUGCCGACCCUGGUCACUGUGUUAAGUCUCAGGAAUCCCGUGCACUGGUACAUAAUCUUCAAACAGCUCCGCCGUGGAGGUGCUGCAGAAUGUCUGGUACGAGAGACGACGGAACAACUGUCUGCACUAAAUUCUCACCGACACACAGAUGACCGCGGGGUGGUUUCAGCUCAACCCCUUCAACCCAGCCCAACACUGUGGAGAUAUCUGGGUCGGCCUGCUGCAACGCCUGCAGGUCGACCGGUUCCAAGUCCACUGACCAGCCUACAGUUGGUUGCGACUGGCCUAUGGGCAGAGAGGUUUUUCACCUGAACCGAACUGAAAACCAAAUAAAAAGGAAAAUGAUGAGUGGAAUCCAGUCCUUUAUUUCGGGGUAGAGGCAUCACAUCCCUUUCAAGUGGGGUGGCACGAAACAUCAGGAGGAGCUUGACAGUUUGAAUCACAUGCUAUGGCAUUUUCAUCCUAAAGAUCUAAAUUCAAUUGAACACCUAUUGAAGAUUUUGGACCUGUUACAGAGCGCUCUCCACCAUCAUCAAAACACCAAAUGAGGGAAUAUAUUUUGGAUGAAUUACAUUUAAUUCCUUCAGAAGAGUUCCAGAAACCUGUAGAAACUAUGCAUUGAAUCUGUUCUGGCAUCUUAAUUAUUUUGUCAAUGCCCUAUACUGUUUAGUUGCAGUGGAUUAUACUGUAAGUGUGUGGAGGACUUGGCAAACUGGACGCACAGUAUCUCUGUGAAAGUGACUGGAAUCCUCAUGACUGUGCUUAUGGCACCACCUAGAGAUUAAAUUGGAAAUGUCAUCAUCAUAAAUGUGAAUGUGGUUGUGGAGAAAGCUGUCCAAUGAGUUGGUCCAUUAUUUCCCACUUGAACAUGGUGAAGGAUGACCAGUGCUCAUGGGGUUUGUACUUUAAUAAUUACACUGUAACAACAACAAAGAUAGUUAUAAAAUAAAUGGAGACCAUAGAGUUGGGCUAUAAUUUCUAAAAUACACCUUACUUUAGGACGUUCUGGCUGUCUAUUACAGUUUGAAAUCACAUCUUGCAUUACUGGUAAACAACACUACAACAAAAUGUAAGCAUGCCACGCAUUGUGGCUGGUAGAUUUUUUCUUGCAUUUUUACAGCUAAACAAGUACGGUUAAUAUCUGAAUAUUAUGAUCAUCGUGAUAUGUUAAGGUUAUAAGUAAGGUUUUACUGGCUGUAUGGCUGUCUGAUUGUUCAGAUUCAAUUAUGUCUGUUCUGUUAGUACCAGUUAGUGGGGACAAAGCUGGUUAAGUUGGCAGCCUAUAUAAAUACAGGCCUGUAGUUCUAGCCAGCAUUUUGUAAAAAAAAAAACUAGAAAAAUAAGUCUCAGCCCCAUUUGAGGUUGGUAAUGGUGCCAGGCAAGGGGAAUAUUUUCCCCAGUUCUUUGUAAUCCAUAUAUACAAAAGGUCUGUCCCAGCAAUUGAAAGUCUGUAAAACUGGGUGCAUGAUAGUAUGGUUCACAGGAAUACUACCUAUGUAUGCAGAUAAUCUUGUGGUCUUCAGUCCAUGUCAAUCUGGUCUACAACAGCCACUUACUGUAUGUUCUUGAGUGGAACAUGAUAAAAAAUACAAUGUCAGUAAGAGAAUCAUCAUGAACCAAAGAGGACAAAUGUAUAACAAAUGUAUGACUGAGUAAAAAAUGUGGGAUAAUAAACUUGGUGUCUGUUGGACAUUUCAUUUUGGCAGAUUGUAUCAGCCCUGUGGCUACCUCUCCUUAAACUGACAUUUAUCAACUCUGACCCAAGUUGAACACUGGAUUUUGGUGUUUCAACACGCUUUGACACUUC